CCUACGGGAGACAGCAGUGGGGAAUAUUGGGCAAUGGGCGCAAGCCUGACCCAGCAACGCCGCGUGAAGGAAGAAGGCUUUCGGGUUGUAAACUUCUUUUGUCAGGGACGAAGCAAGUGACGGUACCUGACGAAUAAGCCACGGCUAACUACGUGCCAGCAGCCGCGGUAAUACGUAGGUGGCAAGCGUUAUCCGGAUUUACUGGGUGUAAAGGGCGUGUAGGCGGGACUGCAAGUCAGAUGUGAAAACCACGGGCUCAACCCCGGCCGGCCGUUGAAACUGGUUUUCUAGAGUUGGAGAGAAGUAUGCGGAAUUCGUGGUGUAGCGGUGAAAUGCAUAGAUAUCACGAAGAACUCCGAUUGCGAAGGCAGCAUACCGGCUCCAUACUGACGCUGAGGCACGAAAGCGUGGGGAUCGAACAGGAUUAGAUACCCUAGUAGUC
rnacentral:rRNA from 1 species